rnacentral:rRNA from 1 species
CGGGGGGAGCAAGCGUUGUUCGGAUUUACUGGGCGUAAAGGGCGCGUAGGCGGCGCAACAAGUCACUUGUGAAAUCUCCGGGCUUAACCCGGAGCGGUCAAGUGAUACUGUCGUGCUAGAGUGCGGAAGGGGCAACUGGAAUUCUCGGUGUAGCGGUGAAAUGCGUAGAUAUCGAGAGGGACACCUGCGGCGAAGGCGGGUUGCUGGGCCGACACUGACGCUGAGGCGCGAAGGCCAGGGGAGCGAACGGGAUUAGAUACCCCGGUAGUCCUGGCCUUAAACGAUGGAUGCUUGGUGUCCGGGGUUAUAAAGUCCCCGGGUGCCGUCGCUAACGCUUUAAGCAUCCCGCCUGGGGAGUACGCACGCAAGUGUG